rnacentral:rRNA from 1 species
GACGUAGGGGGCGAGCGUUGUCCGGAUUUAUUGGGCGUAAAGAGCUCGUAGGCGGCUCGUUGCGUCGGCUGUGAAAACCCGCAGCUCAACUGUGGGCUUGCAGCCGAUACGGGCGGGCUGGAGUUCGGUGAGGGAGACUGGAAUUCCUGGUGUAGCGGUGAAAUGCGCAGAUAUCAGGAGGAACACCGGUGGCGAAGGCGGGUCUCUGGGCCGAUACUGACGCUGAGGAGCGAAAGCGUGGGGAGCGAACAGG